rnacentral:piRNA from 1 species
UGAUAUAAAUUUUGCUGAAUGAUGUUUGUCGC